rnacentral:rRNA from 1 species
GGUACACGAGCGGCGAACGGGUGAGUAACACGUGAGCAACCUACCCUCAACUUCGGGAUAAGCCUCGGAAACGGGGUCUAAUACCGGAUAUCACCAGCUUCCUCAUGGUUGUUGGUUGAAAGUUCUGGCGGUUGGGGAUGGGCUCGCGGCCUAUCAGCUUGUUGGUGGGGUAAUGGCCUACCAAGGCGUCGACGGGUAGCCGGCCUGAGAGGGCGACCGGCCACACUGGGACUGAGACACGGCCCAGACUCCUACGGGAGGCAGCAGUGGGGAAUAUUGCGCAAUGGACGAAAGUCUGACGCAGCAACGCCGCGUGAGGGAUGACGGCCUUCGGGUUGUAAACCUCUUUCAGCAGGGACGAAGCGAGAGUGACGGUACCUGCAGAAGAAGGACCGGCCAACUACGUGCCAGCAGCCGCGGUAAUACGUAGGGUCCGAGCGUUGUCCGGAAUUAUUGGGCGUAAAGGGCUCGUAGGCGGUUCGUCACGUCGGGAGUGAAAACUCGGAGCUCAACUCCGAGCCUGCUUCCGAUACGGGCAGACUAGAGGUAGGCAGGGGAGAGCGGAACUCCUGGUGUAGCGGUGGAAUGCGCAGAUAUCAGGAAGAACACCGGUGGCGAAGGCGGCUCUCUGGGCCUUACCUGACGCUGAGGAGCGAAAGCGUGGGUAGCGAACAGGAUUAGAUACCCUGGUAGUCCACGC